rnacentral:rRNA from 1 species
UGGGGAAUAUUGGACAAUGGGCGCAAGCCUGAUCCAGCAAUGCCGCGUGUGUGAAGAAGGUCUUCGGAUUGUAAAGCACUUUCGGCGGGGACGAUGAUGACGGUACCCGCAGAAGAAGCCCCGGCUAACUUCGUGCCAGCAGCCGCGGUAAUACGAAGGGGGCUAGCGUUGCUCGGAAUGACUGGGCGUAAAGGGCGCGUAGGCGGCUUGCACAGUCAGGCGUGAAAUUCCUGGGCUCAACCUGGGGGCUGCGCUUGAUACGUGUGGGCUUGAGUGGGGAAGAGGGUCGUGGAAUUCCCAGUGUAGAGGUGAAAUUCGUAGAUAUUGGGAAGAACACCGGUGGCGAAGGCGGCGACCUGGUCCUUGACUGACGCUGAGGCGCGAAAGCGUGGGGGAGCAAAACGAGG